GACGAACGCUGGCGGCGUGCUUAACACAUGCAAGUCGAACGGAAAGGCCCUGCUUUUGUGGGGUGCUCGAGUGGCGAACGGGUGAGUAGCACGUGAGUAACCUGCCCUUGACUUUGGGAUAACUUCAGGAAACUGGGGCUAAUACCGGAUAGGAGCUCCUGCUGCAUGGUGGGGGUUGGAAAGUUUCGGCGGUUGGGGAUGGACUCGCGGCUUAUCAGCUUGUUGGUGGGGUAGUGGCUUACCAAGGCUUUGACGGGUAGCCGGCCUGAGAGGGUGACCGGCCACAUUGGGACUGAGAUACGGCCCAGACUCCUACGGGAGGCAGCAGUGGGGAAUAUUGCACAAUGGGCGGAAGCCUGAUGCAGCAACGCCGCGUGCGGGAUGACGGCCUUCGGGUUAUAAACCGCUUUCGCCUGUGACGAAGCGUGAGUGACGGUAAUGGGUAAAGAAGCACCGGCUAACUACGUG
rnacentral:rRNA from 1 species